rnacentral:ncRNA from 1 species
GUCAAUACCACGAAGGGAAGAAGUAAGGUUCCCGGGUGCCUUUCAGAGAGACAGCGGCUGGUGCAAGCUGUCAGGACCCGCUCCUGAACGUGUCCCGGAGUUGCCCUGUCGAAAGUUCGUGAGGCGGUGGCCGUUGAUUCGCGUUAAGAAUAAGGUGUCAUCCGUACUGGCGGAUGGAAGACUGGUGGUACCGCGCUUUCAGCGUCCUUUCA